ensembl:lncRNA
NNNNNNNNNNNNNNNNNNNNNNNNNNNNNNNNNNNNNNNNNNNNNNNNNNNNGUCCUGAAGGGGGUCCUGAGGCGUCUGGGGUCCCUGAGUGGGGCCGGGGGGGUUGUUGGGGGCACCGGGAGGGUCCCUCCCCGUGCUUUACGUUUACGCUGUGUUUUUCUUGGUUUUCACCAUUUUUUCCCCAUAUUUCUGUUUUUCCCCGCUCCUCAUCCUCGCUGCCUCCUCUUCCUCACCUCGCCGUCGGCCUGCUCCUUUUCCCAACCCUCUCCCUGGGCUCUUUCCCCUUUAUUUUUUUUUCAUUUUCUGCCUUUUUUCAUUUUGUUUUUCUCUGUUUUUAUGGUUUUUUUUAUUUUCUCACUCCUUGUUUUGCGUUUCUUCACUUUUUUUUUACCUUUUUAUUUUUAUUAUUCUUUGUAUUUCAUCUUUCUUUUCUUGUUCUUCAUUUUUUUCUUUAUUUUUUUUUUCAUUUCAUUUUCUCUCCCAUUUAUUAUUUCUUCUCAUAUUCUUUUUCACUUCUUUUCCUCCCCAUGGCCUUCAUCCUCUCCCCCUCCUCUUCUUCCUCCCCUCAUCCCUCUCCCCACACUUUUCCUCGCUCCUUUUCUGUCUCCUCACGCUGCCCUUCUUCAAUUUCUCUUUCAUCUCUCCAUGCUCUUCCUCACCCUGUACUCUUCAUCCUCACCCCCUCCUCCUCUUCCUCCCCUCCUCCUUCUCCCCAUACUCUUUCUCACUCCCUCCUUUCUCCAUGUCCUUCCUCAUCUUCUCCAUCACCUCAUGCUCUUCAUCCUCCCUUCUUUUUUUUCUUCCUCACCGUCUCUCCAUACUCUUCCUCACUCCCUUCACCUCCCCACGCCCUUCCUCACCUCCUCCCUCACCCUGUGCUCUUCAUCCUCCCUUCUUCUUCCUCACUUUCUCCCCAUUCUCUUCCUCACUUCUUCCUCACCUCCUUUCUCAUCUUCUCCUGUUCUUCCUCCCCUUCUCUCCAUACUCUUCCUCACUCCUUUUACUUUCUCACGCCCUUCCUCACCUCGUCCCUCACUUUGCGCUCUUCAUCCUCGCUUUCCUUUUCUUCCUCGUCUUCUCCCCACACUCUUCCUCACUCCAUCUUGUACCUCCCAAUGCUCUUCCUCCUCUCCUGCCUCACCCUGUCCUCUUCAUUCUUGCUCCCUCUUCUUUUUCCUCCUCUUCUCUCCAUACUCUUCCUCACGCCCUUCCUCACCUCCUCCCUCACGUUGUCCUCUUCAUCCUCGCUCCUUCUUUCUCUUCCUCACCUUUUCCCCAUCCUCUUCCUCACUCCUUCCUCACCUCCUGCCACACCUUGUGCUCUUCAUCCUCAUUUCUUUUUCCUUUUCGUCAUCUUCUCCUCAUACUCUUCCUUAACUCCUUCCUCAUCUCCUCCCUCACCUUGCUCUUUUCAUCCUCACUCCCUACUCUUCCUCAUUUUUUCCCUAUCCUCUUCCUCACUCCCUCUACCUCCCCAUGCCCUUCCUCCCCUUCUUCCUCACUCUGUCCUCUUCAUCCUUGCACCCUCUUCUUCUUCCUCUCCUUUUUUUCAUACUCUUCCUCAUUCCUUUUACUUCCUCACACCCUUCCUCAUCUGCUCCCUCACGUUGUCCUCUUCAUCCUCACUCCUUCCUCCUCUUCCUCACUCCAUCUUCCCCCUCACCGUGCUCUUCCUCACCUCCUCUCUCACCCUGUCCUCUUCAUCGUUUCCUCGCCUAUUCCUUUUCUCCAUCCUCUUCCCUCACCC